rnacentral:lncRNA from 1 species
GGGAAAAAUGUGUGCGUGGGUUGGGUGUUAACUGUUAUUCUGUUAAGGGUUGUUCACGGCGCGCAAACGUAUUAACAAGUUUUGGAUGGUUUGCAUAGAUCUAAUUUGAUUACCCUCUGUCAAGUUAAGGUGUAUGGGGAGUUGUUUCUGUUGAUUAAACACGAUUGGCAGGACUUUGGGGGAAGACUGCAAUGUUUUCCAAACACAUAUUCCUUAACAUCAUUUAUGAUUUUGGAAAUUUUCUGUUUCUUUCCUUGAUAGUAACAGUUUUAUGGUUAAUAAUAUCAUUCUUGUUCUUCUUACAAAAACAACUGGAUAUAAGGUGUGCAUAAGCAUAAAUAUGCUUCUCGUUCUUCCAUUAUUGCUUCAACCGCUCUAACUGUGAUGUUAUUGCUGAUGGAUCAGUUACUUCAGUGGACGAACCAAAAGGUCUGAAAUGCCAAAUACUAUGAUAAUACUCAAGGCCACAAAGGAAUAGGAUCAGAGCCCUCCCUGCCAGCACUGGAGGAGCUAUUCAUUGGCGAAGGUGGGCCAUGGCCCCCCUUGCCCAGGUACAGUUUCUGAAGAGCCAAGUAUACCAGUCCUCCC